GCCCCUCCACCACCACUACCUCCCAUUCCCGGCGGUGAUCCUCCACCACCACCACCUCCAAGCUGCCCUUGUGCCGCCUGUCCACUGCCUUCUUCCUCCUCCUCCAACGGCAGCCUCUCGUAUGUAGCAUUAGAAAACGUUGACGCAAUCACCAUAACAGGCCCUGAUGCUACUAAUGGCCCUACUACACUUUGCAAUCACCAUAACAGGUCCUGAUGCUACUAAUGGCCCUACUACACUUCCACCUACAACUUGUCCCUGUCCUCCGGCUAAA
rnacentral:lncRNA from 1 species